rnacentral:rRNA from 1 species
UACGGAGGGUGCGAGCGUUGUCCGGAAUCACUGGGCGUAAAGGGCGCGUAGGUGGCGCGGGAAGUCAACGGUGAAAGUUCGGGGCUCAACCCUGAAUCGGCCGUCGAUACUCCCGGGCUCGAGCACUGUAGAGGCAGAUGGAAUUCCGGGUGUAGCGGUGGAAUGCGUAGAGAUCCGGAAGAACACCGGUGGCGAAGGGCGGUCUGACUGGGCAG